AUACGGAGGGUGCAAGCGUUAAUCGGAAUUACUGGGCGUAAAGGGCGCGUAGGCGGUCUAUCAAGUCAGGUGUGAAAUCCCACGGCUCAACCGUGGAGGUGCAUCUGAAACUGAUAGACUUGAGUAUGGGAGAGGAAAGUGGAAUUCCCGGUGUAGAGGUGAAAUUCGUAGAUAUCGGGAGGAACACCAGUGGCGAAGGCGACUUUCUGGACCAAUACUGACGCUGAGGCGCGAAAGCGUGGGGAGCAAACAGGAUUAGAGACCCUAGUAGUCC
rnacentral:rRNA from 1 species